rnacentral:misc_RNA from 1 species
GAAAUGCGAUAAGUAAUGUGAAUUGCAGAAUUCAGUGAAUCAUCGAAUCUUUGAACGCACAUUGCGCCCGCCAGUAUUCUGGCGGGCAUGCCUGUUCGAGCGUCAUUACAACCCUCAGGCCCCCGGGCCUGGCGUUGGGGAUCGGCGGAAGCCCCCUGCGGGCACAACGCCGUCCCCCAAAUACAGUGGCGGUCCCGCCGCAGCUUCCAUUGCGUAGUAGCUAACACCUCGCAACUGGCGAGCGGCGCGGCCACGCCGUAAAACACCCAACUUCUGAAUGUUGACCUCGAAUCAGGUAGGAAUACCCGCUGAACUUAAGC